UACGUAGGGUGCGAGCGUUUGUCCGGAAUUAUUGGGCGUAAAGGGCUCGUAGGCGGUCUGUUGCGUCAGGAGUGAAAACUCGGGGCUUAACCCCGAGCCUGCUUCUGAUACGGGCAGACUAGAGGUAUGCAGGGGAGAACGGAAUUCCUGGUGUAGCGGUGGAAUGCGCAGAUAUCAGGAGGAACACCUGCGGCGAAGGCGGGUUGCUGGGCUGAUACUGACGCUGAGGCGCGAAAGCCAGGGGAGCGAACGGG
rnacentral:rRNA from 1 species